AACCAAACUAGCACAGGAAUGUAGUUCUGCCAUUAAUAAUAUCCAAACCCUGCUUCAAAAUUUAUAAGUUUCCAGCAAAACCCACAUAAAAGGGACCGGUCUUCAAUGCACAGAAAGCAGAGAACCAAAAACCCACAAAACAGAACCCAGAUAAGACAAUGGGGGAGAUGAAGCAUCAGUAAAGGAAGUUGAUUGAGUUACAGAGAGAAAACAGAGAAAUGG